ACGGGAGGCAGCAGUAAGGAAUCUUGCACAAUGGGGGAAACCCUGAUGCAGCAACGCCGCGUGAACGAUGAAGGCCUUAGGGUUGUAAAGUUCUGAUCUGGGGGAAGAAGAAGUGACGGUACCCCAGGAGAAAGCCCCGGCUAAAUACGUGCCAGCAGCCGCGGUAAUACGUAUGGGGCAAGCGUUAUCCGGAAUUAUUGGGCGUAAAGAGUGCGUAGGUGGUUACCUAAGCGCAAGGUUUAAUCUUGAGGCUCAACCUCAUUCUGCCUUGCGAACUGGGCUACUUGAGUGCAGGAGGGGAAAGCGGAAUUCCCAGUGUAGCGGUGAAAUGCGUAGAUAUUGGGAAGAACACCGGUGGCGAAGGCGGCUUUCUGGACUGUAACUGACACUGAGGCACGAAAGCGUGGGGAGCAAACAGGAUUAGAUACCCUGGUA
rnacentral:rRNA from 1 species